rnacentral:rRNA from 1 species
UUAACUGGGGAUUAGAWACCCCACUAUGUAUGGUCGUUAACAUUGAUGGUUUUAUACCCAAACCAUCCGCCUGGGAACUACGAGCAAUAGCUUWAAACCCAAAGGACUUGGCGGUGCUUUAGACCCCCCUAGAGGAGCCUGUUCUAGAACUGAUAACCCCCGUUUAACCUCHCCAUCCUUUGUUUUCCCCGCCUAUAUACCACCGUCGUCAGCUUACCCUGUGAAGGGAAAAUAGUAAGCAUAAAUGGCAAAGCCAAAAACGUCAGGUCSAGGUGUAGCGUAUGGGGUGGGAAGAAAUGGGCUACAUUCUCUACUAUAGAGAAUACGAAUUGUAAUUUGAAAAAAAUUACCUGAAGGAGGAUUUAGCAGUAAGUAGGGACUAGAGUGCCCUGCUGAAAACGGCCUAAGCCCGG